rnacentral:rRNA from 1 species
GAGUUUGAUCCUGGCUCAGAACGAACGCUGGCGGSGUGCUUAACACAUGCMAGUCGAACGUGAUCCAGAGCUUGCUCUGGUGAAAGUGGCGCACGGGUGAGUAACGCGUGRAUAACCUGCCCUGGUAUCUGGGAUAACAUCUCGAAAGGGGKGCUAAUACCGGAUAAGCCUACGGACUCCUCGGAGUCUGCRGGAAAAGGAGGCCUCUAUUUAUAAKCUUCCGUAUCAUGAUGGGYCCGCGUACCAUUAGCUAGUUGGUGGGGUAAUGGCCYACCAMGGCRACRAUGGUUAGCUGGUCUGAGAGGAUGAUCAGCCACACUGGAACUGAGACACGGYCCARACUCCUACGGGAGGCAGCARUGGGGAAUUUUGCGCAAUGGGGGAAACCCUGACGCARCAACGCCGCGUGAGUGAUGAAGGCUUUCGGGUCGUAAAGCUCUGUCAGAGGGGAAGAAAUGAAACGUGCUAAUAUCACGUUUUCUUGACGGUACCCUCAAAGGAAGCACCGGCUAACUCCGUGCCAGCAGCCGCGGUAAUAC